rnacentral:rRNA from 1 species
CCUACGGGUGGCAGCAGUGGGGAAUCUUGCGCAAUGGCCGAGAGGCUGACGCAGCGACGCCGCGUGCGGGAGGAAGCCCUUCGGGGUGUAAACCGCUGUCAGGAGGGACGAACUCCGCCGGGAGGCAAUGCCCGGCGGCUGACGGUACCUCCAGAGGAAGCACCGGCUAACUCCGUGCCAGCAGCCGCGGUAAUACGGAGGGUGCGAGCGUUGUUCGGAAUCAUUGGGCGUAAAGCGCGCGCAGGCGGCUCUUUAAGUCUCGCUGUGAAAGCCCGCGGCUCAACCGCGGGAGGCCAGGGGAUACUGGAGGGCUGGAGACAGGUAGAGGCGAGCGGAAUUCCGGGUGUAGCGGUGGAAUGCGUAGAGAUCCGGAAGAACACCAGAGGCGAAGGCGGCUCGCUGGACCUGUUCUGACGCUGAGGCGCGAAAGCGUGGGGAGC